rnacentral:rRNA from 1 species
GACGAACCGUGCGAACGUUGUUCGGAAUCACUGGGCGUAAAGGGCGCGUAGGCGGUGUGUCAAGUCAGGCGUGAAAGCCCCGGGCUCAACCUGGGAACCGCGCUUGAGACUGGCACGCUCGAGUUCGGGAGAGGAUGGUGGAAUUCCCAGUGUAGAGGUGAAAUUCGUAGAUAUUGGGAAGAACACCGAUGGCGAAGGCAGCCAUCUGGACCGACACUGACGCUGAGGCGCGAAAGCGUGGGGAGCAAACAGGG